CAUUCACCCAAAUUUUGAUAAUUGAGUCCACUCGAAGAAAAACAUCUGAAGACACACGUUAUACGCGUGUGUAAGUGUGACAGCUAUAUAUGGCAAUAUCGAUAUAUGUACAUAUAUCGAUGAGCAUAUAUGUACACAUUUUGGGCGAUUUAAAAUUAUUUCAAAUUGUUUUGCAAAAAGGUAGCCAUUCGCGAAUGUAUUUAGCGCUACUUUACGCUAAUUCACUAUUUAUGCGCUGUUUGGACUGGACUGCAUUGUGGAAAUUUUCAAUAUGUGAACCUUACGACUUGUUAUUCCUUAAGGGGCUGUAUGUAUGAGAGGGAUGGCUAUUGGAGCCGCAUCAUUGAUCAUGCCACAUUAAAUUUGAAAAUGUGGCCGUAUUUUGCCUAAUAUCAAAAAACGUUAUCGUUGCAAAUGAACUGAUUAUUCCACUGGCAAAUUUUGGCGCCAUAAAACUACAUAUUUAAAAAUGCUUUGCUAUUUAUAAAAAAAUUAAAAAAAUAUUAGCGAUUGCAGAGCGAUUUAUAAUGUAAAA